rfam:Bacterium P201 scaffold_1, whole genome shotgun sequence.
GGGAGCUUAGCUCAGUUGGUUCAGAGCAUCGCCCUUACAAGGCGGGGGUCGUUGGUUCGAGUCCAACAGUUCCCA